CAGUCGAGCGCAGGAAGCAAGCUGAUCCCCUUCGGGGGUGACGCUUGUGGAAUGAGCGGCGGACGGGUGAGUAACACGUGGGCAACCUGCCUGUAAGACUGGGAUAACUCCGGGAAACCGGGGCUAAUACCGGAUAAUACUUUCUUUUGCAUAAAGGAAAGUUGAAAGGCGGCUUCGGCUGUCACUUACAGAUGGGCCCGCGGCGCAUUAGCUAGUUGGUGAGGUAACGGCUCACCAAGGCGACGAUGCGUAGCCGACCUGAGAGGGUGAUCGGCCACACUGGGACUGAGACACGGCCCAGACUCCUACGGGAGGCAGCAGUAGGGAAUCUUCCGCAAUGGACGAAAGUCUGACGGAGCAACGCCGCGUGAGUGAUGAAGGUUUUCGGAUCGUAAAACUCUGUUGUUAGGGAAGAACAAGUAUGAUAGUAACUGAUCCUACCUUGACGGUACCUAACCAGAAAGCCACGGCUAACUACGUGCCAGCAGCCGCGGUAAUACGUAGGUGGCAAGCGUUGUCCGGAAUUAUUGGGCGUAAAGCGCUCGCAGGCGGUCCUUUAAGUCUGAUGUGAAAUCUCGCGGCUCAACCGCGAACGGUCAUUGGAAACUGGAGGACUUGAGUACAGAAGAGGAGAGUGGAAUUCCACGUGUAGCGGUGAAAUGCGUAGAGAUGUGGAGGAACACCAGUGGCGAAGGCGACUCUCUGGUCUGUAACUGACGCUGAGGAGCGAAAGCGUGGGGAGCGAAAAGGAUUAAAUACCCUGGUAGUCCCACGCCGUAAAA
rnacentral:rRNA from 1 species